rnacentral:rRNA from 1 species
CAUUUGUUCUUUAAAUAAGGACUUGUAUGAAUGGCCACACGAGGGUUUUACUGUCUCUUACUUCCAAUCAGUGAAAUUGACCUUCCCGUGAAGAGGCGGGAAUAGAUAAAUAAGACGAGAAGACCCUAUGGAGCUUUAACUAACUUACCCAAAGAAAACAAACUUAACCACUAAGGGACAAUAUUAUUCUUUAUGGGCUAGCAGUUUCGGUUGGGGUGACCUCGGAGAAUAAAAAAUCCUCCGAGCGAUUCUAAAGAUAAGACACACAAGUCGAAUCAAACUAUCGCUUAUUGAUCCAAAAUUUGAUCAACGGAACAAGUUACCCUAGGGAUAACAGCGCA